rnacentral:rRNA from 1 species
AUUGAACGCUGGCGGCAUGCCUUACACAUGCAAGUCGAACGGCAGCACGGGAGCAAUCCUGGUGGCGAGUGGCGAACGGGUGAGUAAAGUAUCGGAACGUGCCCAGUCGUGGGGGAUAACGUAGCGAAAGUUACGCUAAUACCGCAUACGAUCUAUGGAUGAAAGCGGGGGAUCGCAAGACCUCGCGCGAUUGGAGCGGCCGAUAUCAGAUUAGGUAGUUGGUGGGGUAAAGGCUCACCAAGCCGACGAUCUGUAGCUGGUCUGAGAGGACGACCAGCCACACGGGGACUGAGUCACGGGCCAGACUCCUACGGGAGGCAGCAGUGGGGAAUCUUGGACAAUGGGCGAAAGCCUGAUCCAGCCAUGCCGCGUGCAGGAUGAAGGCCUUCGGGUUGUAAACUGCUUUUGUACGGAACGAAAAGGUUUGGGCUAAUAAGCUGAGCUCAUGACGGUACCGUAAGAAUAAGCACCGGCUAACUACGUGCCAGCCGCCGCGGUAA